GUGAUGCCUAAAAAGCAUUGCAUAGCAAGGGCCGGGCAAGACCGGUGCCAGCCGCCGCGGUAACACCGGCGGCUCGAGUGGUAACCGUUAUUAUUGGGUCUAAAGGGUCUGUAGCCGGCCGGAUAAGUCUCUUGAGAAAUCCAGCGGCUCAACUGUUGGGCUUUCAGGAGAUACUGUUCGGCUCGAGGCCGGGAGAGGUGAGAGGCACUUCAGGGGUAGGGGUGAAAUCUUGUAAUCCUUGAAGGACCACCAGUGGCGAAGGCGUCUCACCAGAACGGACCUGACGGCAAGGGACGAAAGCUAGGGGCACGAWCCGGAUUAGAUACCCGGGUAGUCCUAGCCGUAAACGAUACUCGCUAGGUGUCGGCCACGGUGCGACCGUUGUCGGUGCCGUAGGGAAGCCGUGAAGCGAGCCACC
rnacentral:rRNA from 1 species